UACGAAGGGGGCGAGCGUUGUUCGGAAUUACUGGGCGUAAAGGGCGCGUAGGCGGCGACCCAAGUCAGAUGUGAAAGUCCUGGGCUUAACCUGGGGACUGCAUUUGAUACUGGGUUGCUUGAAUUCGGGAGAGGAUAGCGGAAUUCCCAGUGUAGAGGUGAAAUUCGUAGAUAUUGGGAAGAACACCGGUGGCGAAGGCGGCUAUCUGGACCGACAUUGACGCUGAUGCGCGAAAGCGUGGGGAGCAAACAGG
rnacentral:rRNA from 1 species